rnacentral:lncRNA from 1 species
CUGGAAGGCAUAAUGCAACGUGACCAAAAAUGGUGACUGCCUAAUGUGUUCCAAUACUUGUCGUUCUGUCCUUGUGUGCUCAGUUGUCUUGGCUUUUUGAACUAUUGUUGCUUUCUUCAGUACUUUCAUGGCAUACAGCUUUCCAGCAUCGUGGCCACUUACUUUCCUUACUAGGAACACUUUUCCAUAUGCCCCAGUUCCAAGGACUUUCAAUAGUUCAAAGUUCUCAAUGCCAACUUUCUCCGCAUGGCCUGUCAAAUUUGCGUUCCUCAGCUCGUGCGUGACGGUGAGCAGCGGCCACUCGCUGCCCUGCGCCGAGCCCGAGGGGCCCUCCAUGUUCUCCCGGGAGGGCGCUCCCCCGCCUCGGCCGCUCCCCGCGGGUGUGUGCGUGGAGGCGGGGGGCGGCACCCGGCCCCGGGCGGAUUUUAUUUCCCGGGGACGCUCCGAGGAGCGGGAGCCAUAGGCGCACGGCG